UACGUAGGCGGCGAGCGUUGUUCGGAGUUACUGGGCGUAAAGGGUGUGUAGGCGGUUGUUUAAGUUUGGUGUGAAAUCUCCCGGCUCAACUGGGAGGGUGCGCCGAAUACUGAAUGACUUGGAGUGCGGGAGAGGAAAGUGGAAUUCCUGAUGUAGCGGUGAAAUGCGUAGAUAUCAGGAGGAACACCGGUGGUGUAGACGGCUUUCUGGACCGUAACUGACGCUGAGACACGAAAGCGUGGGUAGCAAACAGG
rnacentral:rRNA from 1 species